UAAACUAAAUGAUUGUAAAUGGUGUUUAUGUUCCUCUGCAGAUACUGGCCCAAAACCAAUGUACAUAAAUUAUUUGCAGGUUGUCUGUCCCAACAUCUGUUUGUCUAUUGCAUUUCUUCUGUGGGGAGUUAUUGAAGGUAAGUAUCCUUCUGCAUGUAUUGUUAGGUUAUAUUUACCCAUUUUUCUCUCUCUGUUGAUGACUUUGUUUUGUUGUUUUUUUACUGCUUUGUUCAGGGUCUGUAGUUGAGGUAACGAUGUGUGUGACAAUUAAUCUGAGUCGGAUCAUUUUGUUAUUUCUUAUGGCCCCAUAUUUCAAUUGGAAUACUACUGUUUCUGUUAAUUUUCCAGGUUUCAUCCACAGAAUGAUUGAAUUUGUAGCGAUUCCCAUUGCAUAUCUUCUGAUUUCCACAGCAUUUUGCUCAGCUGUUCUUUAUGAUCUCUGGAAUACAUCUCAGUGGACUGAAGUUGUUCUUGUCAGUGUUGGGAUUAUUCUGCUGUCAUCCAUGCCUGCAAUUUUUCGAGCCUUAAACAACGUUUGCUUCACACAAUUUUUUGAUAUACAUUUGUCAGUGCAAUUUAUUAUAGAGAAGUUAGGACACGUUCUCAUGCAGUCAAGCAACUUUCUUCAAAUGCGUCUUCUCUUCUAUAGAUCAUCAAGUGUUGAUGAAUCCAUGAUUAAAAUUACAUAUGCCUUUGGGGGAAUUUCUGCAGCCAUAUCAUUAAUAGUUCUUCCAAUUCCAGCAAUUCGCCAGUACUUUUGUUCAAAACUGGGCAAAUAUCAACUUUAUGCGCUUAUAUGGAGAUGUUAUUUAGUUUGGGUAAACGUUAUGGUUUUGACUCUCAUCGGGCAUAGUGCAUUUAUUUUAUUUUAUCUCAACAAGAUUCUGGAGUAUACUAACGGUAAGCUGGUAUCAAAUGUGAGCAAACUCUGUUUCACUAUACAAUCUCAAAGCAUAAAUUGCUUGGAUUGUUACCUUAGUGGUUUCUCUUUUUUUUGUGGUUUGUGUGCUAUGCGAUAUAUACCAUAGUUUUUAUGGUAUAGCAUAAGUUUCCAGCAAUAGUAACCCGACUAUAAUAAUGUGUCAUUCAUCACAGAGCGCUUUGGAUGGAUCUUUGUCACAGUUAUGCUCCAUGUCUUGACUGCAAUUUCACCCACACGAUUCCCCAGAAAAGUUCCCGAUGUAAUUUACACUACUUUGUUCAUGUAUGGAGUGGCAGGUCUACCAGUGGUCAACUCUGUUUCUCUUGCCACAGAAUUAAUAUUGCAAGUAUACAAGGGGGAGAGAACAGUGGAUGAUUUGCGUGUAAUAGUGCUGCCGUUUGAAAGCAUUAUGUCUGGUGUGUGGCUGGUUUUACAGAUCCAUGCAUACUGGGCAGUUGCCGGGAGAGACGUACAGAAUGAGCUGUAUGCGCUGAGGGACUUUGCGGCACAGUGCACACCACAGCAAGGAGACAUUGGUGAAUCCGAUUUUUCAGAGAAUCACCUUUCUGAGAUCCAAAGAUGUCAGCCAGAGACAGUACCAUUCCUGGGAGAGCAAGAUCUAGAGGUUUAAAUCUUUUAAAUGAUAACGUAACACCAUGUAUGAUGAGCUAAUGUUACCCUACCUAUGCUAACUGUAUUGAAAAAUUAUGCAUUGUACAAUUUGUUGUUUCAAUAAUUUUCAUACAUUGGCUAUGGCUAAUGAAUUGUAUGUAGUGAAAACACUGCUUAAUCUUGUUUUCUCUGUUUCCACCUUCAAAUUGUUAACUUUAUUGUUAUUGUUUAUUCCCAUAGUAAUAAGCUGACUGCAUAGAUUUCUUUAAAAUAUGUUUCACACACAGAUUCACAUUUGAAUUGCAUUUAAAACAUGUGUCUAGAAACAUGAAAAGUGUCCCUAUAAUAAAGAUGUAUCAAUCUGCCCUACCUCCUGAUAU
rnacentral:lncRNA from 1 species